rnacentral:rRNA from 1 species
GACGAACGCUGGCGGCGUGCUUAACACAUGCAAGUCGAACGGAAAGGCCCUGCUUUUGUGGGGUUCUCGUUUGGCGAACGGGUGAGUAACACGUGAGUAACCUGCCCUUGACUUUGUGAUAACUUCAGGAAACUGGGGCUAUUACCGGAUAUGAUCUCCUGCUGCAUGGUGGUGGUUGGAAAGUUUCGGCGGUUGGGGAUGUACUCGCGGCUUAUCAGCUUGUUUGUGUGGUAGUUGCUUACCAAGGCUUUGACGGGUAGCCGGCCUGAGAGGGUGACCGGCCACAUUGCGACUGAGAUACGGAGCAGAAUCCUACGGGAGGCAGCAGUGGGGAAUAUUGCACAAUGGGCGGAAGCCUGAUGUAGAAACGCCGCGUGCGGGAUGACGGCUUUCGGGUUGUAAACAGAUUUCGAAUGUGACGAAGAGUGAGUGACGGUAAUGGGUAAGGAAGCACCGGCUAACUACGUG